GUACUGAAACACGCUAGCACCAUCCUACCGAGAUCUAAUCUGAUCUGAUCCCUUCUUCUCACAAACCCACGUAAUCAAUGGAUUGAGCCCUACGGUCUCCGUUGAAUGAAAGGGGGAAAAGGUACAAACAGCUUGUUCGUUCCCAACAGCCAAAUUAUUCUCAUCCUAACUUGCACCCCAUAAUGCUCACGUCAAUAAUUGAUCUCUUGGUCUAAACGAACAGCGGCGAUCGAGUAGGCGAAAUGGCGCGCUCCAGCGUGUACCAUGUUAUGUUAUGUACUGUACUUAGUAUCCAUACGACCAUACUGCCUCCUGCCCUCCUCCCUCUCUUCACUUGCCCUGUGUGUGUCGGCCGGCAACCUGCCUCCCGCAACCUCGAGCUCCUCCUCCCCCGCAGCGGCGGCCUCAUGGCUCACCACACGACGUACGUCGAUCUCCACCAUGCAAACGGCUCCGGUGGGAUGCAUUUGCCAAAGGUACUCCGCUAUGGGAUGUUGAUCCGGUCCCUGGUGAACUGGUUGUUGGUUUAAAUGGAGACAUGUACUACAUACCACCCGGUGAUGCUCUGGUCGCCGCUUCAGGUGUCAUGGCAGAGACGCCAAAGACGUUGGGCUACAUCUUGGGGGAGGAAAUCUGGAGUUUUCUCAUGGGGUGGGAUGAACAAGAUCCUGUUGCCGAUACUCUCUUGAGCCCACCGUCACAGGCGCUGGAUCUCCGGUGAGCUCUACGGUGAUUAUGUCCAACAGAACUACGGAAGGUGGUAGAAGGUUCAGUUCUACGUCCAGAUUAUAAAAUGUAUCCCACCUCUUAUCUAAUCUAUCCAUUUGAGAUCCGGUGGUUAUGGGGGAAAGUUUCAGAUUUGCACUGAACGGUGGUUUUCACCUGCUAAGUCACCAUGUGAAUGAUGAUAUGUGUUACUCCCAUGCAUCCCUUUUUGACGGUGGUUUGAGUAUAAUUUAGACUGAAAUGCCCCUAGUUACAAUUUUUUAUUAGAGUAUAAUUUUUUUGUGGGGUAUAAAUAUAAUUACCAUAGGCUAAUUAAGGAUUCUUCUAAUUCUGGGCAUUGAUUUGAGUAUAAUUUGGG